rnacentral:rRNA from 1 species
UAAGGAAUAUUGCGCAAUGGGCGAAAGCCUGACGCAGCGACGCCGCGUGGGGGAUGAAGGUCUUCGGAUUGUAAACCCCUUUCGGGAGGGAAGAUGGAAUGGGGUAACCCAUUCGGACGGUACCUCCAGAAGCAGCCACGGCUAACUUCGUGCCAGCAGCCGCGGUAAUACGAAGGUGGCAAGCGUUAUUCGGAUUUACUGGGCGUACAGGGAGCGUAGGCGGUUCGGUAAGCCCUUUGUGAAAUCUCCAGGCUUAACCUGGAACAGUCGGAGGGGACUGCCGGGCUAGAGGACGGGAGAGGAGCGCGGAAUUCCCGGUGUAGCGGUGAAAUGCUUAGAGAUCGGGAGGAAGGCCGGUGGCGAAGGCGGCGCUCUGGAACAUUUCUGACGCUGAGGCUCGAAAGCGUGGGGAGCAAACAGGAUUAGAUACCCAUGUAGUCCCUGAGCGGGCUGGCAAGGCGCAU